UCCGUUCCUCGCACACACGCUAGCGCUCUUUCUCCCCCCUCCUGCCCCUCCCUCCCUCUCUCUGCCUCUGUUCUGCCACCUUCUCCACUCGGCGAUCGGCGUUUUUUGGCUUUUUCCAUUUGUGGAAGAUUACUGUAACGCUAUUGUACGACAACUUCCUGCCUCUUUUGGCUCUGGUUCUCAAAAACGGCAAAGGCACGAGCUCGCAGCACUCACUUUCCCCCCCCCUUUCGGCCUUGAACUACGGGAGCUCUGUGAGGAAGUAACAGGAGGAAGGGGAUAUGUAAAGUGUAUCUGUCACUGAGGAGCGAUUUUGAUUGCAUUUCUGCUUUAAAAAAAAAAAAAAGAAACGGCACAGAAUUAAAGAGGGCGAGAAGGGACCACAUGCCUAGCAGACACAAUGAGAGAGAGAGAGAGAAAAAAGGAUUCUGAAGAAAGAAGAGACGGACAAGAACGAAGUAUAACUCCUCCUGAGAACAAGCGGGAAAUGAUAGACCACUUCGACAUCACACCUCGGAGUGGACGACCUAUCCGAAGAGGGACGCACCCUGGCUGUACUUAACAACUGCUUCUGGCAGCUCCUCAAAAGCCAAACAUAUUGUCCUGGAUCAGGGCAGCUUUCGUAUGACAACAUCCAGGCAGCUAUGGCAAGAAAUCCAGACUAAAGAUGAAUGAAAUCAAAAUGUUGAUACCAAGGCAUUAAAAGAAAAUUAUUGCAUGUACUUAUAUAUAUAUUUUUUUUAAUUAUAUUUUUGGAUAUAAACUGAUCUCCCUUCAUUUUGCUCAUCAAACUUCAACAAGAUGUGGGAAAGAGAAUACAUUUGGAUUUUUGCACCAAAUCCUUUUUCCAAAUGAAACAUGUUUUGUGAAUGCUUCCACACAACAUUAGUCCUGUGAUAUUACAAGACCAAAGUACAACACUGAUUCAAGUACAAAAAACUCUGAAGUAGUUUUUUAGUCUUUAUAUUAAUAGUAUUGUAGCACUAAUAAGCACAAGAGUGUUAAUUAUUUAAGAAAUUCAAAUAAAAAUUUAAUUAUCCCUUUUAAUAGCAUGACUCUUUACUCAUUGUAAUAUUCAAGUUAUUCCGGUAACUACAAGAGGCAUUUCAGUGAAAUAAAAAAAUAACCUUGUACUUCUUGUUGUAUUAUAUUACUUAUUACCUUCUGUCACUUGUAUUAUUAUUAUGCCUUGAUAAUGUAUUAUUAGUUAACUGAGGACCUGGGACAAAUUCUCAAAAAUAUGUCAAAGAUGCAUUCAAAUAAAAACUUAACAUUCUC